AUGGACCCCGCGUCCACUGCGGUUGUGAGCGCGGCGUCCGCGCCCACCUGACCGCUGCUCGCUCCGUUUUGGUAGCC
rnacentral:sRNA from 3 species